AUUGAACGCUGGCGGCAGGCCUAACACAUGCAAGUCGAGCGGAAGAAGGGAGCUUGCUCCUGGAUUCAGCGGCGGACGGGUGAGUAAUGCCUAGGAAUCUGCCUGGUAGUGGGGGAUAACGUCCGGAAACGGGCGCUAAUACCGCAUACGUCCUGAGGGAGAAAGUGGGGGAGCUUCGGACCUCACGCUAUCAGAUGAGCCUAGGUCGGAUUAGCUAGUUGGUGGGGUAAAGGCCUACCAAGGCGACGAUCCGUAACUGGUCUGAGAGGAUGAUCAGUCACACUGGAACUGAGACACGGUCCAGACUCCUACGGGAGGCAGCAGUGGGGAAUAUUGGACAAUGGGCGAAAGCCUGAUCCAGCCAUGCCGCGUGUGUGAAGAAGGUCUUCGGAUUGUAAAGCACUUUAAGUUGGGAGGAAGGGCAGUAAGUUAAUACCUUGCUGUUUUGACGUUACCAACAGAAUAAGCACCGGCUAACUUCGUG
rnacentral:rRNA from 1 species